GCAACUUGCGCCCGUGGCUUGUCGUCCAAGGGCAUGCCUGCCUGAGCGUCCUC
rnacentral:rRNA from 1 species